CCCCCGGGUGAGCUAUGCAAUCCCUGAACGCCCAUAGGCUGUAUCAAGUGUCAGUCAUAGAAAACAUGAACCCCAUAAUAACUUUUAAAAAUGGAGCUGCACAGAAAAAAAGAGGACUUGAGCACAAACAAGUUUGACAGUAACUACAUGUCAACAUCACAACCAGGGCGGAGAAAAAUGUAUAUUCUGUGUACUACGUUUCUAAAGUUUGUCCACAGCUCCAUAGGUAUUGCUGGAGGAGGCGGGAUUUAUGACCUAUACUGCAGCCGGCCAACAGAGGGUGCUGUUCUCGGAGUGGCUUCACCCAGCAAGGAUGCAGACUCUGUCCAUUCUAUAUACAGUCUAUGGGUGGAACCAGUGUUGCCAACUCCUCAGUAAGUAAAGUCGUAGAAGUCGCUAGAUGACUUAAUCGUCUAAUUUGCAUAUUUUUUCAGUCAACCCCAGCCCAACUCCAAAUCUAGCGACUCAAAAAAGUCGUUAGAUUUGUCGCUUGGUGCAUUUUUGAAGAUAAGUCAUUCGGAGGAAGGUCUGAAAAGUCGUUGCUGUGCUUGCCUGGUUGGCAACACUGGGUGGAACAUGUCCUGAUAUAGUGGUGCUUUGCAGGCUUUUGUGAUGCAGUUACUCGUUUGUUUUUUAUUGAGUAGCUGCGCCUACAUGUUUAGCUUAAACUUAAGGAGUUUCGGGGAUAUUUUUGCCGCUUAAACCAAGAAUCUGGGAGGUUUUUUUUGUCAAAUGUGCCACUCAGCAGUGGCGAUAUGGUAGGUGAUAGGAAAAAGAAUAAAUGAUUAAUAUAUUUUAGAGCAAAGUUUGAUCGUUUUAGAGCUAUUCAAAAGUUGAUACACACAAAGACUGGCAAGUACGUCUGGAGGAAGUAAGAAGAAUUGAUUUGUACCAGGACACGAAGACUAUCAAUUGUUUUUAAGAGACAGUUUAGUUGAUUUAAGACAACAGAAAGCAUAUUUUGCUUGGAAAAUAUGAUUCGUUUGCUUGUAUGUACAAUCCACUUGGCUAAGGCUCUGGAGAGAUUGAUUUUGAGAUCUUUUUUUUCAUUAUAAAUUGACACGAUCAAAUUGCUGAAGUCCAAAGAUAAAUGUGCAAGAAGUUAAACAAAAGACAACAAAAUAAGGGCGAGUCAAAUUUGCAGGUUUGAACAAAAGGUAAGAGUGGAUUUUUGGCAGCAUAAUGCAAAAGUUUAACAACAAUAUCCAUAGACAGUGAAGUCAGUGUAAAUCUGUUUCCCAGCAUGACACGGUAUGAGGUAAUUCUAAAAUGAUUCCAUAAACACGCCACGUUAUUGUCCUAAAUUAGCUCACAUGACAGUAAAAACAUACAAGCGAAAAUAAGCAAACAAUUAUCAACAAACAGAAGGAGUUUAAAAAAGACAGAAAAACAAACUCCGCCGUGGAAAACAGUCUUUUUUAGACUUAUAACAUGAGUCAUAAAUAGGGGUGACAAAGAUAUCUCUGGCUAUCACAAAACCUGCAAAACACACAGAACAAGAACGCCUUUCUCCUCGUACGCAGCGGAGAGACAAAAGGCGUAGUGUGAUAGCACAAAUGGCACGCAUCCAGCUCCGUCUCCCCACAAGCCGCACCGUGAAGAGCAGAGUCAAUACAUAACACUGAGGGGCCUCAAACACACUGUAACACACACACACACACACACACACACAAGAGGGUGCAGGAGUCAGGGCCGAGGCAGCGAGCUGACCAGUACCAAGCCGCUCAUGUGAGGAGAGAUUCUGCUCUGGACCCCUGUCGGCUUGUUUUGGCAACAGAGGGGCCGCGGAGCGAGUGCUGAGCCAGGACAAUAUGUUUUUUCAAAUGCCCCUCGGCCAAUAUUUAUUUAGCUACAAGCUGGCACGUCUGAGGAGCUCGCUGCAGCCAAGACGGGCGCACAACCGUGAUUUUCAAGAUGUUACAAACAUCAGGCUUCAAUCUGAGUCUGACCUUGCUAAUGCCCAUAAAUUACAAAUGAGUUCUGUGUGAAAAUAAAUGCUGCAGUGCCACGUUUGAUGAUGCAUUAUGAGCCGGCUGUGAGGGCGAAAAAAACAAAUUGACAAUUUAAAGAUUCACAGGAAAAUAAAAUUGAAUAAAGCAAAUAAGAAACCAGUUAGUGUCCCACGUUCAGGGCAGUAAUUGUGCCCACUGGCUGGAGAUUGCAAUAAGGAGUGCGAUGCAGGGUAACAGCGAGCUCUGCAUACUGCAGACUCGAACGUGGGGUAGAGAGGAAGCACAAGAGGGCCCUUUAUUUAUUUCUUUUCUCUUUUAAAACAGAUGGUUCCUUAUGUGCCGAGCGGAAGUGUCUGUUAACUCAGUUGGCUCACUAUUGGUGGCUGCCGGCCAAUGACAACAACGGGAUCGGGGAGUGUGAGCAACAGUGCAGUUUGCUUUCUUCAGAUGCUCCGCGAACAGAAGGAUGGCAGCCUGCAGAUACUGUUGCACGGCCACCCGAGCCUGGCGGUGCCAGCGCCGGCACCCAUCACACCUCAAGGGGUCUGCACCCAAUCUGAGUGUCACUGCCGCAUGUGUCGCGAUUUCAGGACAACAAGAGCUCACACAGUUCAAGAUGUUUCACUGAAUUACUGUGCGUUGGUUUAAAAUUUGUUUUCACUCAUAAUAAGUGUCCUUAUUUUUGUUGUGUGUUAUUUGGGCCCAACAUUUUAAAGCUGCUAUAAGGAUUUUUUUAAUGUUUCUGAAGUAGAUGGAAAAUCACACUGAUGCCUCUUUAUGAUACUCAAAAGCAAGCAAGACUAAGGGUGAUGAGAGUAAAAUCUGUUUCUC
rnacentral:lncRNA from 1 species